CCUACGGGUGGCAGCAGUGGGGAAUAUUGCACAAUGGGGGAAACCCUGAUGCAGCGACGCCGCGUGAGUGAAGAAGUAUUUCGGUAUGUAAAGCUCUAUCAGCAGGGAAGAAAAUGACGGUACCUGACUAAGAAGCCCCGGCUAACUACGUGCCAGCAGCCGCGGUAAUACGUAGGGGGCAAGCGUUAUCCGGAUUUACUGGGUGUAAAGGGUGCGGAGGCGGAUUUUUAAGUCAGCGGUAAAAUGUCCGGGCUCAACCCGGGGCGGCCGUUGAUACUGGGGAUCUUGAGUGGGCGAGAGGGAUGCGGAAUGCGUGGUGUAGCGGUGAAAUGCGUAGAUAUCACGCAGAACUCCGGUUGCGAAGGCAGCAUACUGGCGCCCGACUGACGCUGAGGCACGAAAGCGUGGGGAUCGAACAGGAUUAGAUACCCGAGUAGUC
rnacentral:rRNA from 1 species